rfam:Triticum urartu cultivar G1812 contig28756, whole genome shotgun sequence.
CAAGUACUCCCUCCGUUCGGAAUUACUUGUCUCGGAUAUGGAUGUAUCUAGAACUAAAAUACAUCUAGAUACAUCCGUUUCUGCGACAAGUAAUUCCGAACGGAGGGAGUAAUUC